rnacentral:lncRNA from 1 species
AAGAUCUUUGAGGGGAUAAUUUGCCAUCUUAGUAUUUAGAAGAACUGUGUUUGUGUCUAUAUGAGGGAGAUCAGAUUAUAAUAGAAGGAUUUGGUAAAAUGAAGAGAAAGUUUUGAAUGGGCUAAACAGGAAUUCAAGGACUUCUUAUAAUACAUUCCAGAGCUCAGCAACUCUUUUUUUAUAUUGCCUGCUGUUUGGGAUUAUAUUCAUCAUUGCUGCCUUCAGUUACAGAAAGUCAUCCUAAACAUCCAGAGGAAGUGUAUGCUUUCUGGCUGAAAGGUUGACACACCUGAGCUAAUUCAUACGCAAGUUUAAUUUGUUCUAUAAAUGGCUUCUUGUGUGUGAGACAAUGAACUUGAAUACAUCUUGGGGGUAGGAGUUCUGCAACCUCUCUUCCACCUUUCUACUUGUCUACGAGGUCUUUCAUCAGGCCUGUUUGUAAGAGGACUUCUUAAGAUCUGUUGUCUGCCUUUUGCAUAUGAUGCCCCUUCUGUUUCUCAUCAAUUAUUACAAUUCAUCAUCAUCAUCUCUUUCUACAAUGUAUUUGCAAACUUUUUUCCAACAAUUUUCAUGUUUAAGGUGUAGUUCAGAUGGAAUUUUUCUGUAUCCUAGAGACCAGAAGAGAGGAAAAGAGUCAUCAGUUUGAGAAAAACCUCAGCCAGGGUUUUGUGCAGCCGUGGUUUGCAGCGUGUCCUGUCUUCUCAUCUCAGAUUUUGUUAAACUCUCUUUUCUGCCAAAUCCCACAGAUGAUUUAGUAGAGGAGUAUCACCACAGAAAUGCUUUAUCCAUUAAGUUUUCCAAUGCUUCUUGUAAAGGGUUGAGGCAUAAAAUUGUUAUU